AAAUAAGCAACACCUCCUUUUUUAUUUUUACAAACCCUAGAAGCACCAAAAACCUUUCGAUUUGCCCAUCCAUUCUCUUGAUCCGCACCUAAUCACCGACCGGCGGCGACCGCCCUCAUUCACGGAGAGAGGUCAUCUGAUAACUACAAAGUUACUCGAGAAUUGAGAGAACCAUUAUCAACCAAGCAGUGCUCGUUAGAGUGUACCAAUCAUCAGGAUGGCAGAGCCGCAGCCAGCGAUACUAGUGGGAGCUCAUCCCAAUGUAGAGCAGCAGGAGAUCCAAGAGAUGGAGAGGGUUGAUUCAGGUCACAUCCGUUGGUUGUUUGAUCAGGCGUAUGAUCAUGAGAUACGUCUAUCCCAUCAGGAGGAGUUAAUGGAGGAUUUGAAGACAUGGAUUGAUAAGAUGCAUCAUGAGUUGCAUGUUACUCGAGAGAUGGGUGAAGCUAUUGAUAGGAAGACGUAUAGGCUUUUGGCGCAGGCUUGGGGUGUGUUACUCCUGUCGGUUUUAGUUUUAUGUAUGUCCAUUUACGUUGUAAAAAUGUACGGACGUUGAGCGGGUUGUGCUCAAGUCCUAGUAUCUUAGUAUAUCUUUUGUACUAGGCAUCAAGUACUUUAGGCUAAUGUCUCAGGAUAUGCUGCUUGUAUGUACAGAAGCUUAUUAGUAAUGAGUUAUGUUGCUUGUAUGUACAUAAGCUUAUUGUUAUUAGUAAUGGAAUGAAAAUAUUUUGUUUU